rfam:Hordeum vulgare subsp. vulgare, WGS project CAJW01000000 data, contig: morex_contig_56299
CAACUACUCCCUCUGUCCCAAAAAUUUUGUCUUAGGUUUAUCUAGAAAUGGAUGUAUGUAAGUAUCAAAACGUGACUAGAUACAUUCAUACCUAGACAAAUCUAAGACAAGAAUUUUAGGACGGAUGGAGUACUAG